rnacentral:rRNA from 1 species
AUGUGCAGACACAGCCUCAGCUCAGCUCGAUCAAUGGCCCCUGCACAAUCUCAAUGUGCCACCCGCGUUUCCGUCGGGGCACUAGCAGUAGCAGCAGCAGCAGCAGCAGCACUAGUGGUGCUGUCGGCCUCCCCAAGCCUGGCCAACGGUGAUACUGAUACGGAUCUCGCCUCGCUGCUGGCUUUCAAAGCACAGCUCUCCGAUCCUCUUGGUGUCCUUGCUACCAACUGGACCGUCACCGAUGGCGGCGGGUCCUCAUUCUGUGGCUGGGUUGGCGUCACCUGCAGCCGCCGCCGGCAGCGGGUCACCGCCUUGUCGCUGCCGGACGUUUCCCUCCAUGGAACCCUUGCUCCUCACGUCGGAGAUUACAGGCGUUUUACAGGCUGA